UACAGAGGGUGCGAGCGUUAAUCGGAAUUACUGGGCGUAAAGGGCGCGUAGGCGGUUAAUUAAGUUAGAUGUGAAAUCCCUGGGCUUAACCUAGGAACUGCAUCUAAUACUGAUUGACUGGAGUGCGGUAGAGGGUAGUGGAAUUUCCGGUGUAGCGGUGAAAUGCGUAGAUAUCGGAAGGAACACCAGUGGCGAAGGCGGCUACCUGGACUGACACUGACGCUGAGGCGCGAGAGCGUGGGGAGCAAACAGG
rnacentral:rRNA from 1 species